GAUGGGCAGGUGAUGAAUCUCAUACUAACAAAUGGGUAAUUUGCGUCUGAACUUAUCUUGAUGCUAUAUCACCUUGGAGAACUGAUGCCCUAC
rnacentral:snoRNA from 1 species